CUUUUACAAUUUUUUGAUUUUACACCGUGUAGAAGGGAUUCAGAUUGUCACGGUUACAAAGAAAGAUGCUGCGAGAUCACUUGUCCAAAUUUGAAAUGGC